CUUCAGCGAGCCCAGCCACAGCGGAUCGCUCGCCCGUUCCUGGCCAUAGGUGUUGAGCAACGCCUGCGCCUC
rnacentral:antisense_RNA from 1 species